GACGAACGCUGGCGGCGUGCUUAACACAUGCAAGUCGAACGGAAAGGCCCUGCUUUUGUGGGGUGCUCGAGUGGCGAACGGGUGAGUAACACGUGAGUAACCUGCCCUUGACUUUGGGAUAACUUCAGGAAACUGGGGCUAAUACCGGAUAGGAGCUCCUGCUGCAUGGUGGGGGUUGGAAAGUUUCGGCGGUUGGGGAUGGACUCGCGGCUUAUCAGCUUGUUGGUGGGGUAGUGGCUUACCAAGGCUUUGACGGGUAGCCGGCCUGAGAGGGUGGCCGGCCACAUUGGGACGGAGAUACGGCCCAGACUCCUACGGGAGGCAGCAGUGGGGAAUAUUGCACAAUGGGCGGAAGCCUGAUGCAGCAACGCCGCGUGCGGGAUGACGGCCUUCGGGUUGUAAACCGCUUUCGCCUGUGACGAAGCGUGAGUGACGGUAAUGGGUAAAGAAGCACCGGCUAACUACGUG
rnacentral:rRNA from 1 species